rnacentral:rRNA from 1 species
CAUAGGCUAUUACCCUCUUAAGAACUAGAUAAACUAUAAUAUAUACUACUUCCUCCUUUCUUUUACGCAUAGAGAUAAUAUAGAAAUUGCAAAACCUUCUAUAGAUAAUCUUAAAAACUUUAAAGUAGCUUACACUAUUAACCGUAUAAAUAUAACACGAAUAAUAGAUACCUAAAUCUAGAAUUUAGUAAUUGUAAGAUCUUUUAAUUAGCUAAAAUUCUUAGACUUACUCUAGGGAUUAUACUAUAGAGCUCUUAAUACUAGGCUUAACUAGAUGCUAAAUGGCGGAUAGUGUCUAUAAUGUGGAACCUUACAACUUGCUAAACACCUCUUCUAGGACUGCCCUAUAGCACAAAAAGUAUACUAGAAAUUAAGAGAAGUUUAGAAACUUAUAGCAAGGCUAAAUAAGAAAAAGAAACUAAGGUUCCCUAAAAUAUAGACUUCUAUAUUAAUUUAUUCACUUUAUAAUAAAGGUGGAUCAAGAUUAAUAUAUAAUAAGCGAUAGCGUCUCCUAUAGGGCACUACUAUAUAGGCAAUCUAGAGAGAGAGGUGCAGGUAGUCUUUCUAAGAAAAAGCUAAUAUAAUAGAAGGAGAUAUAGUGCGUGAGUUUAAACUACUAGUAAAGGUAGAAAUUAAAUCACGCCGCCUAGUAGCUAUUAAUAGACAAGACCUAGAGCUUAGCAAAGAGUUCUCAAAACUCUUUAGGCACAACCCACGCGAAAAAGCUAUAUCUAACUUCCUACAAGUUAUAGAUAAUAUCUAACAAUAAAUAAUAAUACUCUCCUGCUACUAGCGGCGUAGGUACAUGUAUAAUUAGGGCUGCGAACGCUUCCUAGAAACUUUAACUUAAUACUGUAAUAAAUUUUAAACUAAAACUUAACCUAUUAAGGUAAACAUAGUAAUAAAGAGAAAGGGGUCCUAUAGUCGCGCGCAGGUGUGAAGUCUUAUAAUAUCUUAUUAAUAGAACCCCGCUUACUCUUAAAAAUAAUAAAUUUAAAGACAAUUAGAUACUGUUGUAGUCUUAACUGUAAACUAUGCUAACUAGGGAUUAGGCAAUGUUCUUUUUCUAACUCGCUUGGCACCUUACAAGAAAUUAAAGUUUUUAGGUUCUAGGGGGAGUAUAGUCGCAAGGCUGAAACUUAAAGAAAUUAACAGAAGGGCACCACUAGGCGUGGAGCCUGCGGCUUAAUUUAACUUAACACAGGGAAACUUACUAGGUCUAGAUAAAAUAAGGAUUAAUAGAUUAAGAGCUCUUUCUUAAUUUUUUAGGUGGUAGUGCAUGGCCGUUCUUAGUUAGUAGAGUAAUUUGUCUGCUUAAUUACGAUAACAAAUAAGACCUUAACCUGCUAAAUAGCUAGGCUAGCUUUAGCUAGUCGCUAGCUUCUUAGAGGGACUAUUAGCUUAAGCUAAUAGAAGUUUAAGGUAAUAACAGGUCUGUAAUGCCCUUAGAUAUUCUAGGCCGCACGCGCGCUACACUAACAGAGCUAAUAAGUUCUUUACCUUAACUAAAAGGUCUAGGUAAUCUUAUUAAACUCUAUUGUGCUAGGGAUAGAGUAUUGCAAUUAUUGCUCUUUAACAAGGAAUGCCUAGUAAGCGCGUGUUAUUAGUAUGCGUUAAUUACGUCCCUACCCUUUAUACACACCGCCCGUCGCUACUACUAAUUAAAUAGCUUAGUAAGGCCUUUAGACUAGCUUAGGGAGGUUAGUAAUAACUACCCUAAGCUAGAAAGUUCGUUAAACUUGGUUAUUUAGAGGAAGUAAAAGUCGUAACAAGGUUUCUAUAGGUGAACCUGUAGAAG